AGAGUUUGAUCAUGGCUCAGGACGAACGCUGGCGGCGUGCUUAACACAUGCAAGUCGAGCGGAAAGGCCCUUCGGGGUACUCGAGCGGCGAACGGGUGAGUAACACGUGAGCAACCUGCCCUUGGCUUUGGGAUAACCCUCGGAAACGGGGGCUAAUACCGAAUAUCCAUCUUUCAUCGCAUGGUGGUUGGUGGAAAGUUUUUCGGCCAGGGAUGGGCUUGCGGCCUAUCAGCUUGUUGGUGGGGUGAUGGCCUACCAAGGCGACGACGGGUAGCCGGCCUGAGAGGGCGACCGGCCACACUGGGACUGAGACACGGCCCAGACUCCUACGGGAGGCAGCAGUGGGGAAUAUUGCACAAUGGGCGGAAGCCUGAUGCAGCGACGCCGCGUGAGGGAUGACGGCCUUCGGGUUGUAAACCUCUUUCAGCAGGGACGAAGCGAAAGUGACGGUACCUGCAGAAGAAGCGCCGGCCACUACGUGCCAGCAGCCGCGGUA
rnacentral:rRNA from 1 species